UUCUUUUUAGGAAUACAGUUAAUCCACAAGAAAAUAAAUGUAGGCAGUGGGUACUAUUAUUAUCCCCCUUCUACAGGUGAGGAAACUGAUGUACAGCAUGGAUAAGGAACUUGCACUCGGUUACACAGCUGGAAAGUAUUGGGCUCAGAUCAAACCAUGUGUUUAGAGUUUAAGUUCUUAAUCAUCAUCCUCUACCACCUCUCCAGAGAGAGACUGACAGACAGAAAUAGAUAGCUAACAGAUGUCAGAUAUAAAAAUAUCAAUUUCUUCAGAGCAUCAAAUCACAGUACAUAUAUUUUUUUGUCAUUUAAUGUAUUGUAGCCAAAUCAUUGCAUUGAUUGAUAAGGAUUCUGGAGUAAAUUGUGAGAUGCAAACAGAGAUGAUCAAAAUGGUAGGGAAGGGAAUGUCUAUUACUUCAUUGUAGUGGGUGUGGAUUUUUCCAGGAAAAGGCACUCAUCUUUUCUUUGAUUUCAUUUUCUGACUUAAUAGAAUAUUUCUAAUUUAUAUGUUACUACAGAACAAAGCCAUCAUUGACAUUUUAUAAUUUCCACAGCUGUUUUCCUAUAGGUUUAACAGUAAUCAGCUUUUCAAAAAAUUCUAUCCACAAGAAGGAAGAGUCUGGGGGGCCUAGAAGAAGUUUGUGGUGUUAAGUGACUCUUUUGUUUAUAUAUCCCCUCCCUUUCUAUGCUUUUGCUUAUGAAACUGGAACAUCUUGGUACUUAUGUAUAUAUUUUAAUAACAUAGUUAGAGAAAAGCUUACCCUUAUUUAUACAAUAGUCUUUACUUCAUUGGUUGUUUUCCAUGUAGAACUAUGACACACUUCAGCAGAAAAAUAUGGAUGUGCAGUCAGGAAGCAAUUUCUUGACUAUUCAGUGUAAAAAAAUGUAAAAAAUAUUUUAUUCUUAAUUAAAUCCUUUGAUUUUGUUCUGUGAGUUUUUUAUGUCAGUCAUCAGUAAUCUUCAAAAAAAGUUAUACUUGCUUUCCCAACUGUCAUGUUUUUAAGGAGAUUAGGCCAGCUUUUAUCACUUUCUUUUUUUUUAAUUUUUUAACUUUUUUUAAUUGAUUUAUCAUCAUUUUACAAUGUUGUGUCAAAUUUCAGUGUAGCACACAAUUUUUCAGUUAUACAUGAACAUACAUAUAAUUCAUUGUCACUUUUUUUCUCUGUGAGAUACUGUAAGAUGUUGUAUAUAUUUCCCUGUGUUAUAUAGUGCAAUCAUGUUUAUCUGUUCUACAUUUUGAAAUCCCAGUUUGUCCCUUCCCAUCCCCUGCCCCCUUGGCAACCACAAGUUUGUAUUCUGUCUAUGAAUCUGUUUCUGAUGUUUUUUUUUUCUUUUUUUUUUUUUUUAGAUUUCACAUAUGAGCGAUCUCAUAUGGUAUUUUUCUUUCUCUUUCUGGCUUACUUCACUUAGAAUGACAUUCUCCAGGAACAUCCAUGUUGCUGCAAAUGGCAUUAUGUUGUCAUUUUCAUGGCUGAAUAGUAUUCCAUUGUAUAAAUAUACCACAUCUUCUUUAUCCAGUCACUUGUUGAUGGACAUUAAGGCUGUUUCCAUGUUUUGGCUAUUGUAAAUAGUGCUGCUAUAAACAUUGGGGUGCAGGUGUCAUCCUGAAGUAGGGUUCCUUCUGGCUACAAGCCCAGGAGUGGGAUUCCUGGGUCAUAUGGUACUUUCAUUUUCUUUUUUUAACUUUACUGGUUUAAGAUAUUUUUUCCUCUUAUGCUUUAUCCUCCAGGAGCAUCUGACAUAACAGCUAUAAAUUAAAUGUUCUCAUUGUCCAAAUACCUCUAAUAUUGUAGAUGUGAGCUUGAGAGUUGCUUCAUAUUUAUACAGUUUGAAUCCUUGGUUAGACAAAGAGGAAAAACCAAUCUGCUAUGGGGUGGUUAUAAAGGCACAGUUACCCAACUUCGCCCAACCACCAAAGUCCAAGGCGGCAGCACCCCCUGUGCUUGCACAUGACUGAGCAUGUGGAGCAUUCUUGGUGUUGGCUUUAGGGCUGAGUUGAUGAUUAAGGUGGGAGCCAGUGAUGUAGAUAUCAGUACUUCAUUUCUUAGCCUUAAUCCUUCUGCCCGUUGGUGAACAGAUGAUGAUCUAUGCCAAUUACCAUUAUUUUCUUCCAUCAGUUUAUCUAUUCUUCCCAUCAUUUGUUUGGCUGGUUGGUUUUGUUUUGCUUUUCUCUUAGCUUCCGUCCUUCCACUCUGGUCCAUCAGUCAUCCCAGAUUACUCACCUGGAUUCAGUAUUUUAUGAUAUUCUGUGGGAGAACUAGCCUUCACCAUAAUGCACACCCAUCAUACCUUCCACGUGCCCCCCUGGCUCAAUGGGGCUAUGAACUUGGCCGUGCCUUUUUUCAGUUGGUCUCAAAAUAUGUUUCAGGGUCACCUGCAUCAGCACCAUCUGGGGUGUGUAUUAAAAGUGCAGGUACCUGAUCCCUGCCUUAGACCCACUGAAACAGAACCUCUCUUUCUGACUUUAGGAUAUUCAGGCUAACACUAAUUAGGGAGGUUCAUCCAGAUCUGUGCUUACAACCCAGGGUAGCUUUUUAAAAAUCAGAAUGCAUGGAUCCCAUCUCAAGGUUGUCAUUGAAACAGCCUGGUGUGAUUCUCAUGCAGUCUAUGCUAACAACCAGAAAAAGAGCUGUAGACAUUGGAAGGAGAGAACAGAAGUUGGUGUAGACACAGAAACGUGACUUCAGUGAAUUUAUCAAAGUUCAGAGAUUGAUCCUCAUUUAUAAAUUCAGAAGCCAGAUCUUUUUCUCAAGGGCAUAGCACUUUAAGCAAGCAUAUAGGGGCAGAGCUGUAAAUAAGAGUGCCAUUUUUAGAGUCAUCCUUGUCACUAGGAUCAGCAUGACUAGGGUGUUCAUGCCCCAGAGAUAAGAAUCUCCAUAGGAGGCAAGAUGAUCAUCAGACAUUUGCUCCUGGAAUCUGGAGUCAGACUCAGGGAAAUUUGAGCUGAAUAACAGUAGUGAAAACAGUAAGAAUUCUUAGGUGUCAGAAACUCUCCUGAACAUUUCACAUGGGUGAUUUCAUUGUAUCCCCCUUAACAACCCUUUGUUGGUGGUCUUGUUAGCUCUGUUUUUUAGGUGAGAAAAAGGGAAAGAGAGACUACAUAACGGGCUCAAUACGACGGAGCUGCCAAGUGGCAGCACUGAAACUCCUGGGCUCUAGGACUAAGUCAUAAGUGACCAAAGAAAGAAACUACCAGGUAGCUGUAGAGUUGCCUGGGUCUUGGCACCUAAAUAAGCAAUGCAGGGAAGGCAGAAGAGUGGCCAGCUGUUGGAGAAGACAGGCGUGUGCAAACCACUGUUUGUAUGGAGAGGAGGCUUUUGAGUCAUGAGUCAUGAGAAUGAGCAGCCGCUGGGUGGAUGAAGAGUGAUGCCUUGGUCAGAACUUGUGGUUUGUUUAACUGAGCCCUCUAUAGUUGUAAUGAAGUGAAAGUUCUACGCAAUCAGGUUCUGCUCUCAAGUUUUCUUUUUUUAAAGAUGUUUCACCGCCAUAUACAAAUAGCCAUCAUAAAUAGCAAUAAUAAACAUAUUUGAUAUAUAGAUGGCAAGUUUGCACAUGUCUGCCUCAUGGAUGUCCCCAGACCCUGAGUUCACUUUGUCUCGGAAAAUAUGAAUGAAACUGGCUUGAACUUUCACUAGCUCCAACUCAAGCAUAUUUCCUGUUAUUUAGGGGGAUUUUCAUGGAGCUCACAGGUUCCCUGUGUCGCUGUUCUGAGUUUCUGCAUCUAUUGAACACCUGAUCACCACUUGGAGUUUUGUUUCCUAAGCACAGUGCCAGCUUGCCCACGAGGUCACCUGGCUGUCUACCACCCUUGAUCCUUUCUUUAUUCCCCAAAGUACGACCAGUGCAGGCUGUGUGUUUAGCAGACUUUGCUGUAGGAUUUGGGCUAUGGAAUUGUGUGGUAGCACAGAAAAACUAGAUAUCCCUAGUAUUAAAGCUUCCUCAAUCAUUUCUAGAAAAAACUAUAGCUUGUGUUGUUCAUUUGUGCUUCAAGCAUCUCACCAGGUGGGAAGUAGAAUUAUUUCCAAGGGUACAGUCAUUUCUAAGGAUAGAGUUUUUUUGUUUAUUUGUUUUGUUUUGAACAUAAUUCCCAAUGUUUAAUUCAGAGGUUGUUUGUGGGAUAGGCUGUGGACAAAAUGUGUCCCUCAGAAUUCAUAUGUUGAAGCUGUCAUCUCCAAUUAGGAUGGUAUUUGGAAGUGAAGCCUUUGUAUUAGGGUCCUUAUAAGAGAAAGAGACCAAAGGCCUUUCUUUCUCCACCAUAUGAGGGCACAGCACGAAGGCAGCAGCCUGGAAACCAGGAAGAGCGUUCUCCCCAGACAUGAAUUGCUGGCACUUUGAUCUUGGACUUCUCAGCUUUCAGAACUGAGAGUUGAAAGGGGAAAGCACUUACUCAUAGGUCCCUGUCCAUUAUCAGUCAGGGGUGGUCCCGUGGGGGUCUGCGAUGCACUUUGGUUAGUGUCAGUGCCAUGCAGUAGAAAGUUCCCAAGGCCACACACCAUCUUAGCCCCAUGGACAAUGAAGAAAGAUGAGACCUCUGAGCUCUGUAGGCAACCUCUUUCUAACUAUCUUAUCUAAACUUUUAACCAACGUAGUGGAUUUUAGCCAUCUUGCUAACUGCUGGAUGUGAUUAACCAAAGCAGCUGCUGUGGCUCAAUAAAUCUGUGGAACCUUCUCAUAUUGAAGCUGCCCUAAGGUGCUAUAAGAUUCCCACAUGCCUUUACUUUAUAAAAACUUUAAAUUUUGAGAUAUAGAUUCACAUGCAGUUGCAGGAGGUCCCGUGUACAUUUCAGCCAGUUUCCCCAAAAUAACACCUUGCAAGACUGUAGUGCGUCAUCACAACCAGGAAAGUGACAUUGGUGUGAUCCACCAACUUUAUUCAGAUUUCACAGAUUUUACAUGCACUUGUGUGCCUGUGUCUGUUUAGGGCUAUGCAACUUUAUUACAUUUGUAGGUUUGUGUAAAUACCACUGUGGUCAAAAGAGAGAGUGGUUUCACGACCACAAGGACUCCAAGUGCUACCCUUUAAUAUCCAUACCCACUUCCUCCCCCUACUUCUUUCCAUCCCGAGCCCUUGGUUCUGUUCUUCCUCUCCAUAAUUCUAUCAUUUCAAAAUGGUAAUAUAAAUGGAAAUGUACUAUGUGUAACCUUUUGAGGGUUUUUUUUAAAUCUCAGCAUAAUUGCCUUAAGAUACAACCAAGUUAUUACGUAUCCAUAAUUCAUUCUUUUUUAUUGCUGAGUAGUAGUUCAUAGUAUGCAUGUAUUACAGUUUGUUUAGCCAUUCACCUGUUUUUUUGUUUACCAUUUUUAUUGAUUUAUAAUCAUUUUACAAUGUUGUGUCAAAUUCCAGUGUACAGCACAAUUUUUCAGUUAUACAUGAACAUAUAUAUGUUCAUUGUCACAUUUUUUUUCUCUGUGAGCUACCACAAGAUCUUGUGUAUAUUUCCCUGUGCUAUACAGUAUAAUCUUGUUUAUCUGUUGUACCAUUUUGAAAUCCCAGUCUAUCUCUUCCCAUCCCCUGCCCCCUUGGCAACCACAAGUUUAUAGUCUAUGUCUGUGAGUCUAUUUCUGUUUUGUAUUUAUGCUUUGUUUGUUUUAGAUUCUACAUAUGAGCGAUCUCAUAUGGUAUUUUUCUUUCUCUUUCUGGCUUACUUCACUUAGAAUGACAUUCUCCAGGAGCAUGCUAUGUUGUUGCAAAUGGCGUUAUGUUGUUGGUUUUUAUGGCUGAAUAGUAUUCCAUUAUAUAAAUAUACUACAUCUUCUUUAUCCCAGUCACCUGUUGAUGGACAUUUAGGCUAUUUCCAUGUCUUGGCUAUUGUAAAUAAUGCUGCUAUGAACAUUGGGGUGCAGGUGUCAUCCUGAAGUAGGGUUCCUUCUGGAUAUAUGCUCAGGAGCAGGAUUCCUGGGUCAUACGGUAAGUCUAUUCCUAGUCUUUUGAGGAGUCUCUAUCCUGUUUUCCACAGAGCCAAGGACAUCUGGGUUGUUACCAGUUUGGGGCUCUUACAAAUAAAUAUACUCUAAACAUUCAAGUAUCAGUUUGUGUGUAAAUGUAAGUUUCCAUUUCUCUUAGAUAAAUGGCCAAGAGUGCAAUUUCUGGAUGUUUAGUUUUGUAAGAAACUUUCCAACUGUUUUUCCAAAGUGGAUGUGUCAUUUUACACUGAUUCCAAUAUUUCAUGAAAGAUCAAGUUUCUCUGUAUCCUCACCAGCAUUUGGUUUUAUCACUUCAUUUCAUUUUAGCCAUUUUGAUAGAUGUGUAGUGAUAUCUCAUUGUGGUUUUAAUUUGCAUUUCCUUGAUGACUAAUGAUGCUGAACAUCUUUUCAUGUGCUUAUUUGCUGUCUAUAUCUCCUCUUUGGCAAAAUGUCUCUUCACAUCUUUUGCCAUUUUUUAAUUGUUUAUUUUUAUACUGGUAAGUUUUGGGAGUUUUUUUUAAUAUUCUCUGUGUAGAGAAUAUGUUAGAUACAUCAUUUGCAAAUACUUUCUUUCAGUGUCAAGCUUGUCUUUUCAUCCUCUUAUCUGAGUCUUUCACAGAGCAAACAGUUUUAAUUUUGACGAGGUCCAGUUUAUUCAUUAUUUUUUUUCUGGAUUGUGCUUUUGGUGUCAAGCAUUAAGAACAUUUUAUGUAGCCUUAGAUUCUGAGGAUUGUUUCCUGUGUUUUUUCCUAAAGGUUUUAUCAUUUUACGUUGCACAUUUAAUUCCAUGAUAUGUUUUGAGUUAAUUUUUGUAUAACAUGAAAGACUUAGGUUGAGGCUUAUGUUUUUGCUUAUGAAUGUCCAGUUACUCUAGCAAAAAUGCCUUCAGUUUUGACAUAUCUUUUUUUAAAUUCACACAUUAUUGUGAGAGGCUACCAUGUGUGAGGCCCCACUAGGUGGUGAAGACAGGAAAAUUAAUAGAAUAUAGUCCCUGAAAGAUCUCAUCCUUGCAGAGGUACAUAUGCAAAUACUUUCAAAUUUAUAGGUUAAAUUACAAGGCAGAGGAAUACACAGGGGAAAAGGACUUGAAGGACACAAGUGGAUUCAGAGUAAAUGUAAGCUAUUGCAUAGCUUAAAUGAGAGAUCAUUAAAGCAGGGAUAUAAAAAUGGGAGGGAUGGAAUACAUGUGAGAAAUAUUUAUCAGAGCCAAGCAGAGGGUGGUUUAGGGGGAAGAGGGCAUUAAAGAUUGACUGUGUGGAUGGUGGUUUAUCCAAAAAGAGAAAAGGGAGCAGGUUUGGGUGGACAAUAAUGAAUAUGUUUUAAACUUACAGAGUUUGGGCUAGCCAGUGAACCUUCAGGUAGGACGGAUCUAGUCAUAGUUUUCAUGUAUGAAGCUAUUAUUUCUGGGUGAAUUUCAUGAUGAGCAGUUUUUGAAAACUGCCAGAAACCAUUUAAAGUAAAAGUACUAUACAUUUAAGUUGUACUGUUUUAAAUCAAAGACAAGUCACAGAAUUGUAGAAGGGAGCAUUAUGUUUAACAUAGAGCCUCUGUGCUUUGGUGAAUUUUAGGCUAGAGUCUGAAAUAGAGUGUUUCUGAUUACAAAUUGUGUUAGCUAAAGAAGUUUGGAAUUAAAAAAAAAAACUCUUCUGAGCCUCAAUUUUCUCAUCUAUGAAAUGGGUGCAUUUGUAACCUUAGAGCUUACAGGAUUGCAGUGAGGACCAAAUGAGGUGACCAGAAGCCUAAAGUUUUUAUCUACAACAAACAUGUAGCACAGAUUCUCUUUUUCCUACAUGGUGUUUAUAAGAUCACUUAGAAUAAUGUUUGAAAACAUUAGGGAAGGGAACCCAUCUUUCAAAUGAAGGCUUCUUCAGACCUGGAAAAUAGAUAAAAGCAAAGCUGUCUUCUCUUUACCCAAGUUCUCAGCUGCAGCAACAAUGUGGAAUCUUAGGGCUAUUCAGAAAUCACUAAUAUUGUAAAAGCCUCAAUUUAACAAUGAGAAAACUGAUCUAAAGAGGCAAAGAAAGUUUCCUCAAGUCACAUGUUUUGCUGGAGACAGAUCCUGGUCUAUUCCCCAGGUUACUAACUCCCUAUCAUGAAAUAGUCUAAAAUAAUAUUGACUUACAUGAGUGACUAUAGUCACAGUUCCAAAAGAAACUGCUUUUAAUUUUUUAAAAUUAACUUUUUAAAGUGUAGUCAGUUUACAAUGUUGUGUUAAUUUCUGAUGUACAGCACAAUGCUUCAGUUACACAUAUGUAUAUAUACUUCCUUUCCAUACUUUUUUCAUUAUAGGCUAUGACAAGCUAUUGAAUAUAGCUCCCUGUGCUAUAUAAUAGGACCUUGCUGUUUACCUGUUUUGUGUGUAGUAGCAUGUAUCUGCAAAUCCUGAACUUCCAAUUUAUCUCUCCACCUCUCCCCUUUCCCUCCCGGUAACCAUAAGUCCAUAAGUUUGUUUUCUAUGUCUGUGAGUCUGUUUUGUGAAUAAUUGCAUUUGUGUCAUUUUUUUAGAUUCCACGUAUGAGUGAUCUCAUAUGGUAUUUUUCUUUCUCUUUCUGGCUUACUUCACUUAGUAUGGUGAUCUCCAGGUCCAUCCGUGUUGCUGCAAAUGGCAUUAUUUUAUUCUUUUUCUGGCUGAAUAGUAUUCCGUUGUAUAUAGAUAUCACACUUCUUUAUCCAAAAGCAAUUGGUGUCUUAAAUUUUCUUUGAGUUGCAGCAGCAUUCCUGCCUCUCAUUGGCUAAUCUGAUCUGAAAAGCAAGCUUCUUUUUCGUAGGUAUUUUUGAUGUGUUAAAACAACAGGCUUUAUGUGCCCACUGUAGAUAAAAGACACCCGUGCUGUACUUUCCAUCCUGCUCUCUUAACAGCCAGUAUUGGCAAACAGUUUAUGUCUCAGAGGGCUUAGAAGGUUGUGUCCUUGGGCAGUGGUUUCAAACCUGGAGUUACCCAGGGAACACUUUUAAAUUAUAUAUUCUGGGACUCAAUCCUUGAAGAUUCUGAGGCAAGAGAUCUGAAGUGGAUCUUCUUUUAAAGCUCCCCUGGGGAGGCUGGAAUUUGAGGACUGUUGCUCUGGGCUACAGCACAGGACCCCUGGAGUGACCAGCGCUAUUCCCUUAAGGUCUCCUUUCUAGAUAACUAUUGCUUGUGAACAUUUAAUAACUUCACCCAGAUCAUCUCUCUAGUUCAGAACUAGGGCAUAAUCUGUCCUGAGUCCGCCUAUUCCAGUUCAUCCGACGUUUUCCUCCAGUAACAUCUCAGACACAAAAGGCGGUGUCAGCUUGGCAGCAAAAGCAACGAAGUAAAACCAUCACUUACUGAGCGUUCACUAUGUGACAGGUGAAGACUUGGUAGUUUGCCUGUAUGUUUGGAUGACAAAAGUCUGAGCCGUAGACUUUUGUUUACAACAGCCGACUCAGUAUUUCAAACAGAACUUCUGAUCCCUCUUUUCCCUGAUCUGUGCUCCUUCCCCGGCUUUCCUCACUCUGUCUCCCGCAGCUGGCCAAUCAUUCGUGCCCAGAUCUAGGUGUUAUUUUUAUUUCCCAUUUCCCCCAACACUCCACAACCAAUCCGGCAGUCAGUUCUCAAAUAUAUCCCAAUCUAACCACUUCUCACCUGCUCCACCAAGAGCCAUUCGAUGCAAGUCACCAUUGCUUCUUCUCUAUAUUAUUUUAGUAGCUGGCUGGUUACACUCCCUAUUCUACUACUGCUUUCAAUGGCUGGUUCUUCAGAGAAGAAGCCAGAAUAAUCAGAUGAAAGUGCAAAUCAGCGAUGUUCAUCCAUCAGCCUAAAACCUUCAGUCACUUCUUACCACAUUUAAGUUGAAAAUCCUUGUCCUUACCAAGUUGUACCCACAAGUUCUACAUGAUCUGCUGAGUCUGUCUUUCCAACUUCAUGUCGUGUGACUCUUCCUUGUCCUCCUUCCUUCUGCUGCACUACUGUUCCCUAAAUGAUCCAAGCUUAUACCUGCCUCAGGGCCUUUGCACGUGCUCUUUCCCCUACCUGGACCACUUUUCCCCUUGAGCUUCCCAUGGCUCAGUCUCUUACUUCACACAGGUCUCUGUUCAGAUAUCAUUCUCAAUAGGCCUUCUCCACCCUUUCUAUAUAAAACAGCGCCCCAUCACUCUCUAUCCCUUUUUCCUGCUUUUCUUCAUAGUCUUUAUGACUACCUAACACUGUAGCAUACAUUUGUUUGUUUGUUAUUGGCUCUCUCUCCCCUGCUAAAAUGCAAGCUCUGCGAAUGAGGGGAUUCUGUUUCUUAUUCACCUUUGUAUCCUUUACCCUUGGCACAUAGUCAGUGCCCACUGAGUAUGUGUUGAAUGAAUGAAUGAGUGAACUAGUGGCUGUUACCCUUCUGGGUUCUCUGUAGCAAUGCUUUUGAUUCUUGCCCCACAGACAUCCAUGGAAUUCCUGUAAAUUUAGGUGACAUAAGUCUUGAUCUCUGUCAGUCAUUUUAUUCAUGAUCUUGUUUGCCUUUUGUUACUACUCUUUAAUAUUUAUAAAGAACACAGCCAUUCCUAGGACCGUUAGUCAUUAAAACACUUCAGUAUUACCCCUCUACUCUGAAGCCACGAGGCUGCCCCUCCCGGCCUUUGCUCCAGCGCUUUCAGAUUUAGAUUGAAGGAGGAUGAUAAAGAGGGCAUGCUACAUCAGGUCAUGGGUGCCCCACAGACAGGGAACUAUCCGGGCACACUUCCUGUCUCCCCCAGAUCUGUACAGAACUGUCAGAGGGAGGGAAAUGGACAUUUACACGCUACAAUAAAAAUGCCCACUCUGGGACCUUCGGGCUAGUAUCCCUCCUUACUUCUCGCACCGGAAACCUACAAUGGAUGAUUUUCCUUCCUCUUUCACAUGCAGCUUCCUCAGUUACCAUGAGCCAAUUUCCAUGGGAAGUUUUGCGUGUGGUCUGUGUUCACUGAGGGCGGGAAUGCUAGUGCUGCUCUGUCCUCUCUUUAUUCGUGCUUGGAGCAUUUGUUUUAUGACAAAGGAGAGCCAGCAAGUGUGGUCAAGUGCAGACAGACCCAUACGUAGGCUGGUGGAAGGGCUCCUCGCGGGAAGCUCGCUCCCACCACGCUGCCCCCCCACCCCUGGGGGGCUGGCAGCUCUGCCCGCAUAGCAGGGGCCAGCGUGCUGGUGGGCUCCUCGCCCUCAGAGCAGCUGGGCCCGAGCUGGGGCUGCGGCGGAACACGCGUGGCCGUUCGUUUGUGUCUUUCAUUUACAGGAGACAAAUUCUUUUUUCCUUUUAAUAGAAGUAUGGUCAAGUUACAAUGUGUCAGUUUCUGGUGUACAGCAUAAUGUUUCAGUUAUAGAUAUGCAUACAUAUGUUUGUUUUUAUAUUCUCUUUCAUUAGACUGCAAGGUAUUGAGUAUCAUUCCCUGUGCUCUACAGAAUAAAUUUGGGUUUUUAUGUAUUAUAUAUAUAGUAGUUAAUAUUUGCAAAUCUCAAACUCCCAAUUUAUCCCUUCCCACCCCCUUUCUCCCCAAGUAAUCACAAGUUUGUUUCCUAUGUCUUUGAUUCUCUUCCUGUUUUGUAGAGAAGUGCAUUAGUGUCUUCUUUCUUCUUUUCUCUCUCUUUUUUUUUAGAUUCCACAUACGAGUGGUAUUAUAUGGUACAGGAGACAAAUUCAUGAACAGAAAGGCUUACGUUUACAAAAUAAGAGUCAGGGAAGGAUGAGCUUUCAGCCCUUAAUUAAAACAUUCAAGCAAAGGAAUGAACAUUUUGAUCUCACUUGGUCAGACUUACAGAGUAGCUUGUCACAGACCCUCUUCAAUCCCAAGUCCCGCAUCACCGGGGGGGUUGCCCUGUCCUAUUCCAGCAGUUUUGCACUUGCGAGCUCACUCAGUAGCCUAAUCUUUUCUGAAAAAGUCCAGAAAUCUAGGAGAAUCAUUGCAUGAAAGGAAACUAAUUUUACUAACGUACUCGUCCUCUCGUACUCGUCCUCUCAAAAUAUUAGGAUCAUUUUCCAAAACUCUUUUUUUUCCUGUUUUUCAUUUUUCCCAUCUCAGUAUACCAAGAACUCAGCUUCAUUUCUUUUCCUGCUAACUUCAGAUGAUGACUACAUGGUGACAUGAUGCUGCUAAAGUUGCAACAUGAGCAAAAAUAUUUACACUUUGAAAGUCCAAUGUCAUAUUUACCUGCGCAAUGUUCCAUUUACCCAAGUGGAAAACUUGAAAGGGAGAAGAAUUAUAAUUACUGAAAAAUAGACAAACCACCUUAGGUGAUUUAUAAAUAUCAUAUCCAUCUGAACAGUGAUGGAAAAAAAUAACCUCUCACAAACCCUACAUAUAAUUCAUGGGUAUAUUAUAAUAAUAGUCACUCUUACACCCAGUUUUCACAUACAUUAUGUGGCUGUAGCCUCAUCAUUACCUUGUGAGCCAGUAAAACAGGCCUGUGAGUCUCACUUUGUGAUCGAGGAGACAGGCUUGUGCAGGUGGAAUGGCUCAGGGUCAGACUUCAGGAUCAUUUGUCUUUUUCUCACUGUGACUUCAGUUUGGGGGCUGUUAUAUACUGAGAAAUUAUCUAGUGAUGGCUUCUAAGUUAUCACUGUCUUUCCAGUCUUGCUUCUAUUUUUUAAAUUUUAUUAAUGAAAUCUGACAAUGAUGUCAUAAGGGAAACGCUUAUGUUUCAAGCGUCUUGGCCACUGGCUGCAAAGUCAGCAUUCUGGGGCUGCUGCAUAGGAUUUCGACAACAGUUAAGUCUAAGGCUUUGACUAGGUAACUGAAUGUGGGAAAAAAUUUUAACACCGUUAUUGUGGUGUGGUUCCUGUACCGUAAACUACACAUAUUCACAUAUUUGAAGUGUACAAUUUGAUGAAGUUUGAUAGAUGUACACACCAGUGAAACCACCACCACAAUCAAGACAGCUAACAUUUCCAUCACUCCCCAAGAGAUGCCAUUACAAAUUCCCAGUUCAUCCCUUCCCUCCCCCUUUACCCCCUGGUAACUAAAAGUUUGUUCUUUAUGUCUGUGAGUCUGUUCUGUUUUAUAAAUAAGUUCAUUUGUGUCCUUGUCUUUAGAUUCCACAUACAAGUGUUAUAUGGUAUUUUUCUUUCUCUUUCUAAGUUACUUCUCUUAGAGUGACAAUCUCCUGGUCCAUCCAUGUUGUUGCAAAUGGCGUUACUGAAUGUGGGAAGUUUCUGAAUAAUCAUGCUGAUGGUUGUUCAUAAUCUUUUUUUACUGUGUUAUCUGUCAAUUCCGAUAAUUUAUUAGAUUGUUUUUUUUCAUAUAAAUUCUAUUUAGAGAUAUUAACACAACGUCACUGCUCAAGGGAACUAUGCAUUGAGCCAUGUAGUUCUUUGUAAUUUUCCAGACUCAAAUGGUAGCCACCAAAGUAACAGCAAUAAGGAGAACUAUGUAAGAAAUUGCUGUGCUCUGUGGGUGUUCUGAGUGAAAAUAUCCUUGAAAAAUAGAGAUUUCAUUUUGUACUACUGGGCCUCACUUCAUGAUUUUUUUCCCAACUGAAAAUGCUAUGUUCUUACUUUGACACGUUAAUAAACAACGUGCCAUAAUUACUAUUUACCUUGACUAUUACAAAUGAUAGAUUUUUGCUUUUGGACCAGAAGCUAGUAAUGCAAUUUUCCAGUCUUAGGAACCAAUCAAAAGUGUUUUGAAAGUGAGCUCACUUAAAGACACCCGAAAACCACUCUCUUCAUGAAGCUUGAUAGGAUAUCAUCUGACUCCUCUUAUAAACAGCCCAUUUGAAGAGAUAGCAGUAAGUUCAAUUACAAAUAGUUUUCCAAGUAAUUGAUAUCCAUUACUGGAAUUGGGCAGGGCAGAAUUAUUUUUUUAUGGUGCCUAUGGCUCUGGUAUGCAAAGAUAGCAUGCCUUUUCUAUUGGCAGUGGCUUGCAGAAAAAAAUUAUAGUUUUUAAGCCUUUGCAGAGACACAGAAUUUUUUUUUAAAGGUUUAUACAUUUCUCAGAAGCUAAGGGAGAAGUAUUCCAAGAAGUUGUGACAACCCAGCCAUAUGUGUCCAUCAGAGGACUAAACUUAGUCACUUGUGCACAGAGCCUAGCACUCAAUGACAGGUGAGUUUGGGCCAUCCCGAUCUGUAGAUCAUAGAUGAACUACAGCAGAGAUUGGACGACAGCUCAAUUUCUGAAACCCACUCAUUCCUUAAGUCUGUCUUGAGGUCAUAAAAAGGGAAACAAUUAAAGGCAGCACAUAACCAAGGUGGCAAAUUUUUGAGUAGAAUCAGAUUAGAUGUCAGCUUUGUUGUUCAUGUGGAAACCAUCAUUCUUCUGGGAACCGAGAUGGAGCUGGUUGAAACCCCAGAGAAUAGAGAGCAAACUGAGAAUGAACAAGUGCUCUUCUCCCUGAGGCCUCAAGGGGUCCAGUGGGCCAGGCAGGUCCACGGCACUUGCUUCCCCCCCUCCACACAGUGAGUAAACAAAUAGGAAAGUAGAGUGAACAGCCAGAGCAGAGGUGUCUCUGCCGCCACGCCCUUCCCCACGGCGCUGCCGCACCCACCUCUCCACCGCCUCCUGCGUGCUGUCUUUUCUCCAUCUCAGGCCCUCCUUUUCCCUCUGCUGCUGUUGCAGCCCCUUCUGCCUGAUCCCUGGGGGUUCUCCGCACCUGCCUUACAGGAUCCUGAAUUGAUCUGCCCUAUUUGAGGGAGUAUUUGGACUCUUUUGUACAUAAGUUUAGAAAAGCAUUUUGAGGCCAGAGGUUCUCCAUCCUUCAGCUCUUUUGUGAAAGGAGGUGGAUUCAGCAAUCAUGUUGCCCUAGAGUAAGCUGUUCCACUGUUCAAAGGAAACCACUCCUCUGACACACAAUGGAAGAGCUAGAAGUAAUAAUUCCGCAGCUCAGUUUUAUUCAUUCAGAAUGAGCCAGUAGGUUUUUGUGGAAACUGAAGAGAAUGUGAUUGACAGUAACUCCCAUGGAAUUAUAUUUGGACAUAAUGAAAACAGAGAAAGCAAUAGAUUAACUAGGUAAGGUACUACCAAGAAUUUUAAAUGCUCUAUGCAUCUGUUUUCUCAUUCAUGCCGUCAUCCUUCCUGAGAACAGGUUAAUCAUCUCCACAUCACAAAGCUGAGGCUAGGCUCCGUUUCCCUGUGGUCUAGCCCUUUUUACUAAAGUUUACUAGGUGUUGUAGGAUUAUAGUGGUUGGUACCUCCUUGCAAUAAAGCACUCCUUUAGAAUGCUGAGCAAUGCAUGCACUCACUGUAGCAGAGUGUUUGCUAGUAGAAAGAAGUGGUUGGUGGUCUGUGAUAAAAGACAUGACCCCCACAUGUUCUGGUGAAAAACCAAAGAUCCAUUAUCACCUGGGCUUUUGCUAUUAAGAGUCUUGAGAGAUGAACAAAAUUUUGUUUUGCAGAAAAAUAGCAGAGAACUUAAAGAGCUGUGAUUUAGUAACUUUUGUCUUUUGUCUUCUUGAGUAUGCUGUCCUUCCACUCUUCAGGGUAAGAUUGAUUGUUUAAGGAAUACAGUGACCAAAAAGCCCUCUUAGAUGGCAGAGCAGUGUCCUGGCUCAGGGCAGGGACUCUUGACCCACAUUGACUGAGCUCACAUCCCAGCACCGAACCCUUAGUGGUUUGUGUGCUCUUGGGAAACUUUUGCCUGUAAAAAUGGGAAUAAUAAUGGUACCUACACCAUAUGGUUGCAGUGAGUACAUGUAUACUGAAUGUGAAAUAGUGAGGACAGUACCUGGCACUUAUUUUAAAAGUAUGUACCAUUAUAAUUAGAAUUAACCAAUAAAAGAAAACUGCUACAUCUCUGUAUUUAAAUCAUCACAGAGAUUUUAAUUCUAAUGUUAGGAAUACGUAAAAUUAUAGUUUUGUGGAACUGUACUUCACAGAGUUGAUUCAGUCCUACGCAAACAGUAUCUGCCCAUCUCCAGCAUGAAACCCUUUUACUGCAAGUACUUCUCCCCACAAACCCAGGAGAAUUGUCUACUUAUCAAGAAAUAGAUUCCUUAUCUUCCCUUAGUCCCAGACAAAAGUGUAUUUUUAGCCACCAGAUGCUGCCAACAGUUAAUCAAGGAUGGCAUUUUAAUAGUAGACAUUCUAGAUAUAGGCAGAAAUCUCAGGGAAGUAAGAUGUUUCAUUGUGUUUGUAUUCAAGGACCCGUGAUUCCUACAGAAAAGGUGAAAUCAUUUAAGUGGCAAAACAAAUCUGUAUUUAGAGUGAAGACACACUGUUGCCAGUUUAAUCUCUACAGUUUUGUGACUUGGAUAUUUGACCUAUCAUUUUUGAAAGUUAUUUUUAUUUUAGAGAACAAAAAUAAACGUCUGGAAAAGGAGUUCUGCAGAGUCAAGUGCCCAGUCCAAGGACAGAGAAAAUAGUUGGUAAGAAAGACAUCGGAACACCCAAUCUGCAGUCAUUAAACCAUGACAGAUAGACUGCUAAACCAUGAGAAGUCAGUCCAGAUCCGACAGUUAAACAAAGUCCCAAGUUUUGUCUGAGCCUUUGUCAGACUCAACAGAGUCACCUAUUUGUGAAUUCCUUCCUGAAAGAAAGUUCCUUAGACCCCUGCUGUCCAUUGAAAGUGCUCUUUUGCUGGGCAUUUAAGCAGAGGAUUUGCAAAAUGAGUGUUUUCUCUUUUUGGAGUACACAGAAAUGUUAAUAUACCUGCUCCUGGGAUUGGUUUGUCAUUUAGUUCUGUUUUAAUUUCCUCCUUUAAUGAAUUAGUCUCCAUAGUUCUGCCUCCCGUGAGUGCCUGAGGCCCUAAAUGGACAAAAGUUUCACUGAUUCCAUUAAUUGGCUGACUUUUUAGUGAAACAACAAUGAAGAUCCUAUAAGUACCCCUAUGGGGUACUAGGAUUUACCCAGAGGCUUAAACCACAAAAACAGACAAUAUACAUGAAAAAAAUGUUUCCAAGGCCCUGGACAUCAGCCAGUGAAGGGCAGUGAGACUGAGAGGCGGGGAGUGAGGGCGGAGCCCCACGACUGCCCCAGCUCCAUGCCUGGAGGCUUCCAGGCUGAAACGUAGGAGAAGGAAUGUCAGUAUUUUGAACUGAACAAAAAUGAAAACACAACAUAUCAAAACUCAUGGAAUGUUGAUGAAAGAGUAUGAGAAAAUUUACUAGGAGUAUUACUAAAGGACAAUUUAAAAGCCUCACCUUGAGGAACACAGCCUCUGCCUAAAGAAACUGGUGAGUAAAAAGGCAGAGUGAGCGGGAAAGAUGACAAAGAGCGGAGCAGAGAUCAGAGCUACGAUAGCGACAGAGGACCUGACAAAACCAAAAGCUGGUUUUCUGAGAGGAUCGUCCCCCAGCAGGUGACCAGUAGCAAAGCAGAGGACACUUACUAACAAUGCCAGGGAUAAGAGAGGUGAUGUCACCUCAGAUUCUAUAGAUAUUGAGAUGAUGAGUGAAUGUGAUGAAUAAUUUCAUGCCAAGGAUUCAACAAUUUAGAUGACAUGGAAAAAAAUUCCUCAAAAGGCACAAAUUACCAAAUCUCAAACAAGAUGAAAUAGAUGAACUGAAUCGGCCUAUAUUUAAUGAUGAAAUUGAUUCUGUAGUUUAAAACCUUCCCGCAAAGAAAGCUCCAGGCCAGGAUGACUUCACUGGUGUAUCCAACCAAAAUUUAAGGGAAAAAUACACUAAUUCUACACAAAUUCUUCCACAGAAUUUAAGAGGAGUGAAUCCCACCCAACUAAUUUUAUGAGGCCAACAUAACCCUGAUUAAAAAACAGACUAGAAAAACUACUAGAACCACAGAGCAGUGUCUCUCAUGAAGAGAGAGAGAAAAACUCUAAACACAAUUUUUAUAAACUGGAUAUAGUAAUAGGAUAAACAUGAUGACCAGGAGGGGUUUAUCCCCAGAAUGCAAGAUUAGUUUAACAUUUGAAAAUUAGUAAGUUUAUUUCAUCAUACUAAAAAAAUUAAUAAAGAAAAAAUAUGAUCAUCUAAACACAGAGAAAGGAUUUGACAAAACUCAGCGUCCAUUGCCAAUAAGAGCUCAGCAAACUAGGAAACAGGGGACACCCUCAGCCACAUACAGGGUGUCUCUGCAAUGCAGCAGCUCCCGGCCCACUGAAUGGUGAAACACCCUGUGGUUGCCUAAGAUCAAGGAAAGGCCAACGAGAUCCUUCCCACCGUUUAUGUCCCACAUUGUCCUAGAGACCUCGGCCAGGACAGCAGGGCGAGAGGAAGACGCAGAGGACGCCCCACCUGGAAAGCAGGCAGCAGUGCUGUCUGCACGUGGAACGUUCUUUGGGAACAAUGACAGCGGAAAACCGAGAGAAAUGAGCUCAGCUAAGUGGCAGGAUGAGGUGAUCCUGAGUGAGGUGGAGGGUAGCCUCUCGCUGGCAUGUCAACCCAGUAACUGCCCACGGGCCACCAUCAGCGCCCCCUCCCCAGCUGAGCUCUCCACAGUCUUUGCAGACUGAUGCCAGGCACAGAACACCUGGGAGAUGCCUCGGGCCUCGCUCUGCUGCCCGGGACCCAGGAGGACCUGCAUGCGCUCCGGGGGCUGGAGCGAGGGUCCCAUCUCCCUCCGUGGGCCCGGGCUCCAGGCAGGGCUGACUUCUCACACGCCCUCCCCUGUGAGGGGAGGAAGCCGGUCUCAGAGAACGUUAGGGGCCACAAACAGCGACUAGGAAAUAACUCAGCUCCUCAAGGAGAGAAGGGGACAUCCCUUCUCUGUGAGGACGGGUGAGCCACCCUGGACCUGCCUGGAGCACUGUCCUCACCCCAGAAAGCAAGCAGUGCUGAGAACGGGCCCUCACCUCCUUGUUGUCACUGAUUUCAGCAAAGCGAGCUGAUUUCAGGGAAAAGAAAAAAGAAUGUCUUAAACACACUCUAAGUUUGUACAUUUCAUGAAGCUUGUCUCUUGGAUAUUACAACAUGUGAUAGCCUAUAGUGAAAAAAUAUAAAAAGGAAUAUAUGUAUAUAUGCAACUGAAUCACUAUACUGUACACUAGAACUUAACACAAUGUCGUAAACUGGCCAUACUUAAACUUUUUAAAUAUAUAUGUAUACAUAGAUAAAAUUAAGCUUCUCCCAGCUGUGUGCAUCAGUUAGGUUGGUGGCUCUUGGAAAGAUAUAAACCCAAUGGCAUUUCAAGGAGUCACUUAAGAAGGCUGAGGACAUCACCUGGAGCACAGCAUGUGCUGGAAGCAGGUGUUUCCCGAGCCUAGGUAACAAAUGGGGUCAAGACGGAAGCAGAGGAGGAAGAUGUGACCUCCACCUGCCACCGUCCCCCAGCACCGGGACCCAGGCUGCCGGCAGAGCCUGGGGUGGGGCCUACGCUCCUCCCUGAGCCGAAACCCCUCACUUGUCCCUUCAUCAGUGCCUCCUUCACCAGCUUCCCCUCAGACAGGGCAGAGUUGGCCCAGAAAUUCUCUUCUGUUAGCUCAGCCUAAACCUGAGGGAGCCCUGACUUUUGGGCUCAGCCCAUCAGCCCAUCACUCGCUGGCCUGGAGCCCUGGCUCCAGCAGCCACACAGGGCAAGACUUGAGGGGUCUGCCUUGUCGGCUCGCUGAGGUUUCCUUUGGCCCCACGGCUCGCAGGGUCUGCGCUGAGCCAGACGCUGGGCCACGCAUUUUGCAGGUAUCCUCUCACAGUCAUUUUCAGUUAAACAUGGUUAGUUGAGCAGGAUCAGGCUUUUCAAAUAUUCUACAGACAUUUUAAAAGAAUGUUAACUCUUGGAGAUGUAAAGAUAAGAGGGAAUACCACAUAUGUUUUACCAAACUCCAUGUGUCACCGUUUCUUGACCUGAGAAUCAGAGGGAGUCAUAAACAUCAUAUAGAAUUUGGGGUAGAAUUACAUUUUAUAAAACCUGAAGUUCCUUUUUUCCUUUUAUUUGAUUUUCUGUUUUAGCUGAAGUAUAGUGAUUUUACAAUGAUGUGUCAAUUUCUGGUAUACAGCAUCAUGUUUCAGUCAUACACGUAUAUACAUAUAUUCAUCUUCACAUUCUUUUUCAUUAUAGGUUACUGCAGGAUAUUGAACACAGCUCCCUGUGCUAUACAGUAGAAACUUGUUGUUUAUCUAUUUUAUGAAUAGUACUUGGUAUCUGAAAAUCUUGAACUCCCAAUUUAUACUUUCCCACCCCCUUUCCCUCCUGGUAACCAUAAGUUUGUUUACUAUGUCCAUGAGUCUGUUUCUGUUUUGUAAGUAAGUUCAUUUGUGUCUUUUUUCUUUUAGAUUCCACAUAUAAGUGAUAUAAUAUGGUAUUUUUCUUUCUCUUUCUGGUUUACUUCACUUCAUAUGGCUUUCUCCAUGUCCAUCCAUGUUGUGGCUAAUGGCAUUAUUUUAUAUUUUUUAUGGCCGAAUAGUAUUCCAUUGUAUAAAUAUAGCACAACUUCUUUAUCCAGUCCUCUGCUGAUGGACAUUUAGGCUGUUUCCAUGUCUUGGCUAUUGUAAAUAGUGCUGCUAUGAACAUUGGGGUGUAGGUAUCUAUAAAACCUAAAGUUCUUAGGUCAGUCUUUGACACACUAUCACACUCAAAUUUUAGAUUUUCUUUUUAUUAUUACUGAUAGUUGAAUUCUGAGAAAGUUGUGGCAAAAGCAUUUCAUUCUGUGGCCUAUUCACCUUAAAUUUUACACAGUUCUUGAUUUAUAUUAUAUAAUACCUGGAACACAUCCAAACACCAAUCUCAGAGGUUUUAGCUGUUUAUUAUUAAGAUAUUAUUUUCACAGAAAUAUGACAGACGAUAUUAAAAUAUGUAUGGGCCAAAAAAGACCCAGAAUAGCCAAAGCAAUCUUGAGAAAGAAGAACAAAGCUGGAGGCAUCACACUUUCUGGCUUCAAUCUAUAUUACAAAGCUAUAGUCAUCAAAACAGUAUGAUAUUGUCAUAAAAACAGUCAUACAGAUCAAUGGAACCGAAUCUAGAUAGCCUAGAAAUAAACCCCUACGUAUAUGGUCAAUUAAUUUAUGACAAAAGAUCCAAGAAUAUACAAUGAGGAAAAGACAGUCUCUUUUAUCCAUGGUGUUGGGGAAACUGGACAGCCACAUGCAAAAGAAUAAAACACUACCUUACACCACACACAAAAAUUAAUUCAAAAUGGAUUAAAGGCUUGAACGUAUGACCUGAAACCAUUGAGCUCCUAGAAGAAAACAGGCUGACAGCUCCUUGAUAUUAGUGUUGGCGAUGCUUUUUUGGAUUUGACACCAAAAGGCAACAAAAACAAAAAUAAACAAGUGAGACUACAUCAAACUAAGAAGUUCUGAACAGCAAAAGAAACAGUCAACAAAAGGAAAAGGCAACCUAUGGAAAAAGACAAACUAUUUGCAAAUCAUGUAUCUAUUCAGGUGUUGAUAGUGAAAACAUAAAGAACUCCUACAACUCAAUAGUGAACAAAUAAACAAUCCAAUAGGCGGAGGACCUAAAUAGACACUUUUUCCAAAGGAGACAUACAGUGGCCAACAGGUCCAUGGGUCACUAAUCAUCAGGGAAAUGCAGAUCAAAACCACAACUUGUUGUCAUCUCACAUCGGUUAGAAUGGCUAUCAUCAAAAAGACAAGGAAAAAGAAGUGUUGGCAAGGAUGUGGAGAAAAAGGAGCCUUCAUACACUGGUGAUAGAAAUGUAAAUUGGUGCACCCACUGUGGAAAACAGUAUGGCGGCUCCUCGAAUCAUUCAAAAUAGAACUGCCAUAUGGCCCAGCAAUGCCACUGCUACGUAUUUACCUGAAGAGGAUGAAAACAUUAUUUCAAAAAGAUACAUGCACUCCAGUGUUCAUAGCUGCAAUAUUUGUAACAGCCAAGAUAUGGAAACAACUUGUGUCCAUCAAUAGAUGAAUGGAUGAAGAAGGUAUGGCACACACACACACACACACACUGGAAUGUUAUUCUGCCACAAAAAAGAAGAAAAUCUUUCCAUUUAUGACAACAUUGAUGGAUUUUGGGAGCAUUAUGCUAAGGGAAAUAAGACAGAAAGACCAAUACCUUAUGAUCUCACACGUGCAAUCUUUAAAAAAAUGAAUUCUUAGAUACAGAGAACAGAAUGGUAGUUGCCAGAGGUGGGGCAGAGGUGACAAGUGAACAAAAUGGGUGAAAGGGAUCAAAAGGUAUGAAAUUCUAGUUAUAAAAUAAAUAAGACAUGAAUGUAAUGUAGAGCAUGGCAACUAUAGUUAAUAAUGCUGAAUUGCAUAUUUGAAAGUUGCUAAGAGAAUAAAUCUUUUUUUAAAACUUUUGUUCUUUUUUGGGUUUUUUUUUUGGGGUAAUUAGGUUUAUUUAUUUGUUUAUUGUUUUUUUGAUGGAAGUGUUAGGGAUUGAACCCAGGACCCUGUGCAUGCUAAGCAUGCACUCUGCCACUGAGCUAUGCCCCCACCCCAGAAUAAAUCUUAAAAGUUCUCAUCACACACAAAAAAUCUGUAACUAUGUGUAGUGAUGAAUAUUAACUAGACUUACUGUGGUGAUCAUUUUGCAAUGUAUACAAAUAUCAAAUCAUGUUAUACACCUGAAACUAACAUAAUGCUAUAUGUCAAUUUUACCUUAAUUUAAAAAUUAAUGUGUAAAAUUCACAAAGAAAAAAGAAAAAAAAUACUAUAGACACUAAUGUAGACUAUGGACUGUGGGUGAUAAUGAUGCACCGGUAUUGUUUCAUCAGUUGUCAUGAGUGUACCAUUCUGGAGGGGUGUCAAUAGUGGGGGCUUGGUGUGAGCACGGCAGCGGGUAUAUGCAAAUUCUCUGUACUUCCUGAUCAAUUCUGUUGUGACCUGAAAUGGUUUUGAAAAAAUAAAGUCUUUUUUUUUAAUGAUAGGUAGAUAGAUAUGUAAAUAAAAUAAACAUAUGGUAGCUCACAGCAGGAAAAAAUGUGACAAUGAAUAUGUUCAUGUAUAACUGAAAAAUUGUGCUCUACACUGGAAUUUGAUACAACAUUGUAAAAUGACUAUAACUCAAUAAAAAAUGUUUUAAAAAAAAUAAACAGGAAAAAUAUAAAAAAGGGAAACCAAAAGGAAAUAUGAGAAAGGAUUUGAUGGAGACUAAAAAAAGAAAGAAAAAGUGCAAAGCUGUAACAAUAAUCACAACCAGGCUUGAUUUCCACCAUCAUCUCUCUGAGAAACCAUCCUAUUAUUGCUCACUUUCCUCCAGGGAAACACAAAUUAAAACCACAGUAAAAUACCACUACACAUGCUGGGAGAGCUAACACUGACAAGGCUGACAACAACAAGUGUUGGAAAGGAUGUGGAGCAACGGGAACUCUCAUCCAUUGUUGGUGGAGGUGAGAUCUGGUAGAACCACUUUGGGAAUAAGGUCUGGGAGUUUCCUGUAAAACUAAAUAUACAUCAACCCUAUAACCCAGCAUGUCCACAGCUAAGACAAAUUAAAACUCAUGCCCACAUGCAGUAUACUGUAUACAUGUAUUACAUGCAAUAUAUUUUGUAUGUGCUGUUGUAAAAAAGAUGUUGAUUGUGAUUGUGGGUUUGUCAUCUUUGGCCUUAUUAUUUUGAGGUAUGUCCCCUCUACACAUACUUUGUUGAAAGGUUUUAGGAGUGUUGGGCAUUGUCGGAAGCUUUCUCUGCAUCUAUUGAUAAGAUUGUAUGGUUUUUGUUCUUUAUUUUGUUAGUGUGGCUCAUCAAAUUGUUUGAUAUGAAGAUAUUGAACCAGCUUUGCAUCCCUGGCAUAAGUCCCACUUGAUCAUGGCGGAUAAUGUUUUAAUGUAUUUUUAAAUUUCAUUUGUCAGUAUCUCAUUAAGGAUUUUUGCAUAUGUUAAAAAAUGUAUAUACCCACAAAAAGACUAGGGCAGGAACUUUGAAACAGCUUUAUUCAUUCACCCAAAGAGCAAAAAUAGCCCAGGUGCUCAUCAGUAAGAAACUGGAAAAACCAACUGUGGCAGAGUCAUUCAACAAGAUUACUCAGCAAUACAAAGAAGCAGACUUCAGAUACACACAACAGCAUGGAUGGACCUCAGAAACGUUACGCUAAGUGAAGGAAGCCUUUCACAAGAGUAUAUGCAGUAUGAUACCAUUUUAUGUGAAAGUACAGAACAUACAAAACUAUCAUACAGUAGGAAAAAAUUAGAACUCUGGUUACAUCGGGGAAGGGAUGGGAACUGGGAAGGAACCUUCUGGAGGUGACGGUAAUGUUCUAUAACUUGAUUGCUGUUUGGGUUACACAGCUCUGUGCAUUUAUCAAAACUCAAAGAAUAUACACUUAAGAUUUGUGUGUUUCAUUAUAUGUAAAUUAUGCAACAAAAGAAUAAACAAAUAUUGAACUCUA